AACCAUCUUCUCACUCCUUUGAAAAUUCUCCACCCACAAACAACACCCUCUCACCACCUAUAGACAUUCCUUCAUCCUUUCCAAUCUGAAAUCGCCACCAUACACGACUAAGCACAUUCAUCUUCGCCUCAGUCAUCUCCAUUGUUUCCUUUAAAUCCUUUGAAGCUCACCCACAACCGUGAACUCCCUUGUUUCGACCACCUUAAGCUCCCUCCGUUUUCACUCAACCAUUCAACCAUGUUUCUCCGAAUCCACUACCACCCCCAUCAAAACCGUCGGGCACCACUUUUCAACACUAACUAUAUCACCAUCCUCCACAAAUUUGUAGCACCUUCAGACAACCUCUCAAAAUCGUCACUAGUACAAACCCAUUAUACCUACCGGAAUCCGCACAUGUCAUUUCUCAACUUUUACGUCUAACACUAACUCACAACCUUCACCACUAACCCAAAUUAUGAGGCAUUUGAAUCGGAUAACAUCGCUCAACAAUCUCUGACAUGUGAAAUGGAUUCGAAAAAAAGUUACAUAAG
rnacentral:lncRNA from 1 species